UACGAAGGGGGCUAGCGUUGCUCGGAAUCACUGGGCGUAAAGCGCACGUAGGCGGCUUCUUAAGUCAGGGGUGAAAUCCUGGAGCUCAACUCCAGAACUGCCUUUGAUACUGGGAGCCUUCGAGUCCGGGAGAGGUGAGUGGAACUGCGAGUGUAGAGGUGAAAUUCGUAGAUAUUCGCAAGAACACCAGUGGCGAAGGCGGCUCACUGGCCCGUACUGACGCUGAGGUGCGAAAGCGUGGGGAGCAAACAGG
rnacentral:rRNA from 1 species